rnacentral:sRNA from 1 species
GCUCUGCCCAUCCAAAAAGCUAGCGAUC